UUUCAGGUUGGUACUUCUGCUCCUCUCUUGUUCCAGAUGUACCCUGUCAGGGCCUGUGGGGACAGAGGGUCCCCACUGACAGCUGCCCUGUGCCAGGCCUUUUUCUUCAGUGAUAAAGAGGAUAGAAAUUCUUAAAAGGUGAAAAAAUAGCAAGUAGUAUAAAAUGAAGUUGGCAAUGGGAGAAAAUUUCUCUUGUGCUCUGUGGAUAACGGCUGCAUUUUGUGACACAGCAUGUACUGCAGAAAUAUUUUGUUUUCUCAGGAGGAUGUGGAACUGGAAACAGAGAUGACUUGAUUUUCCAGAAUGAAAGCUGUGAAUCACUUUGAACUUGUCAGAAUUCAUGCAAUCAGGUGAGAGCUGACCAACCUGUGGAAAACCUGGCUCUGACUCCUGCUCCCCCACCAAUGCCUCCAGGCUGAAUAGCUGAUUAGAG